rnacentral:rRNA from 1 species
UACGGGGGGGGCAAGCGUUGUUCGGAAUUACUGGGCGUAAAGGGCUCGUAGGUGGCCAACUAAGUCAGACGUGAAAUCCCUCGGCUUAACCGGGGAACUGCGUCUGAUACUGGAUGGCUUGAGUUCGGGAGAGGGAUGCGGAAUUCCUGGUGUAGCGGUGAAAUGCGCAGAUAUCAGGAGGAACACCGGUGGCGAAGGCGGGUCUCUGGACAGUUCCUGACACUGAGACACGAAGGCCAGGGGAGCAAACGGG